rnacentral:rRNA from 1 species
AUAGCGUAUAUUAAAGUUGUUGUGGUUAAAAAGCUCGUAGUUGAACCUUGGGCCUGGCUGGCCGGUCCGCCUCACCGCGUGUACUGGUCCGGCCGGGCCUUUCCCUCUGUGGAACCCCAUGCCCUUCACUGGGUGUGGCGGGGAAACAGGACUUUUACUUUGAAAAAAUUAGAGUGCUCCAGGUAGGCCUAUGCUCGAAUACAUUAGCAUGGAAUAAUAGAAUAGGACGUGCGGUUCUAUUUUGUUGGUUUCUAGAGUCGCCGUAAUGAUUAAUAGGGAUAGUUGGGGGCAUUAGUAUUCAGUUGCUAGAGGUGAAAUUCUUGGAUUUACUGAAGACUAACUACUG